rnacentral:rRNA from 1 species
GACGAAGGGGGCUAGCGUUGUUCGGAAUUACUGGGCGUAAAGCGAGUGUAGGUGGUUGUCCAAGCUGGAUGUGAAAGCCUUGAGCUCAACUCAAGAAAUGCAUUCAGGACUGGAUGGCUAGAGGACCGGAGAGGAUAGUGGAAUUCCCAGUGUAGUGGUGAAAUACGUAGAGAUUGGGAAGAACACCAGUGGCGAAGGCGGCUAUCUGGACGGUUUCUGACACUAAGACUCGAAAGCGUGGGGAGCAAACAGG